rnacentral:rRNA from 1 species
GACGAACGCUGGCGGCGUGCUUAACACAUGCAAGUCGAACGAUGAACCCGGAGCUUGCUCUGGGGGAUUAGUGGCGAACGGGUGAGUAACACGUGAGUAACCUGCCCUGGACUCUGGGAUAAGCGUUGGAAACGACGUCUAAUACCGGAUAGGACCUUGGAUCGCAUGAUCUGGGGUGGAAAGUUUUUUCGGUCUGGGAUGGACUCGCGGCCUAUCAGCUUGUUGGUGAGGUAAUGGCUCACCAAGGCGUCGACGGGUAGCCGGCCUGAGAGGGUGACCGGCCACACUGGGACUGAGACACGGCCUAGACUCCUACGGGAGGCAGCAGUGGGGAAUAUUGCACAAUGGGCGAAAGCCUGAUGCAGCAACGCCGCGUGCGGGAUGACGGCCUUCGGGUUGUAAACCGCUUUUAGUAGGGAAGAAGGGCUUCGGCUUGACGGUACCUGCAGAAAAAGGACCGGCUAACUACGU